rnacentral:rRNA from 1 species
AGACGUCUACAUUAGAUACCCCCGUAGUCCCAGCCGUAAACUAUGCGCGUUAGGUGUAUCGGUGACCACGAGUUACCGAGGUACCGAAGGGAAACCGUGAAACGUGCCGCCUGGGAAGUACGGUCGCAAGGCUGAAACUUAAAGGAAUUGGCGGGGAGCACCACAACAGGUGGAGCCUGCGGUUUAAUUGGACUCAACGCCGGGAAGCUCACCGGAUAAGACAGCGGAAUGAUUGCCGGGCUGAAGACUCUGCAUGACUAGCUG